GCCAGAUACAUGAAAGAGUCAUAGUCACAGGGGAGGAGGCUGGCAAGUAGGCCUCUCAAGGACCAAGUGGCGAAGGGCACUUUGUCACAACCUCCUAAUAUCUCAAAAUAACUCCAUAUACUUCUUGAUUUGGUCAAUUAACUCCAUAUACCUCUUGAUUUGGUCAAUUAACUCCAUAUACCUCAUGAUCUCCCCAAAUAACUCCAUGUACCUCAUGAUCUUCC